ACUUUUGAUCAGCUUUUUGAGGAGAAUCGAAAUACAUAAGUCAGAAGGCAAUCGAUCGUGGUGCAGCUUCCCAUAAGAGGUGUGCGGGGUCCUUUCGUGUGGAAAAAGCAUUCUUUCAAACUCGGAGACAAGGAUUCAGGCAACUGUCUCAAACUUCGAAUUUUCCAUGACAUAAGUAAAAUGAAAAGUUCCUAGUUGUUUCCGAGAUGUAGGAGGCUGUGACUAGUUUUCUCUUUUCAAACUAAUAAAUAUUUUCAGAUAACAACAAUCAUCAAUCAAUCAUCAGAAUCAUUGAUAAGAAACACAGCUAUCAGACAGCUACUUGAGCAGUUGGAGUUAAUCGGAGUUAAUCAUCUAUUGCUAUGAACAUCAAUGAUGUAAAAUGGUGAUUCCGCUAAGGGGCCUAAAUUCGAAAAAAAGUUCAGUUGUGCGAGGAGAAAAAUUCUGAAAGACAGCAGCGGAUAGACUCGCAAGGGUCAUAAUCUAAUUCCAGACAAACAAAAUGAAGAUUUUGGGAAAACAUAUGGCUGCACACGAUCAAGACUGGAAACAAUUUGAAGAAAUAUAACCACACAUAAUGACAAGGCAUAAUCCAAGCCCAGAAAAUGAGAAUGUUAGAUGUCCAUGAAAGGUGCGCGCAAAUACCCUCAGAGUGAAACAUGAUUUAUGUAGACAUGAAAUAAAAAAAUUCUUCGAGUGGAGAAAUUUUCUCCAAGGACACCUCUUCUUGGUUUAAUGGCUCAUACCCCAAUAAUGUGCAAUAUGUUGUUAUGAAAUUGAACAAUGGGUCACUAGCAAGAUAGGAAUUAGAAUGUAGCUGAUGCUACUGGUAGCAUGUUCUAUUUAGUUUGAUCAAUCCAUUCAUCAAACGCAAAUAUAUGACAAGUUAAGCAUAAGAGGGAAAAAUCUGGCUUUGCAUUUGGUUCAGUGGUGAGAAAUGUAAUCUUAAAACAAAAAGUACACAAAUGAUGGAAGGAUGCAAUGGUAGUCAAACGCUGGAAGAAUGAAAUGUUGCACAAUUUUGUAACCAAAUGCAGACAAACAUUUUCGUAGUCAAACGAUGGGAGAAUGAAAUUUUGCACAAUUUUGUAACCAAAUGCAGGCAAAUAUUUACAGAUAAAAUUGAUUUUACAUCA